rnacentral:rRNA from 1 species
GACGAACGCUGGCGGCGUGCUUAACACAUGCAAGUCGAACGGAAAGGCCCUGCUUUUUUCGGGUGCUCGAGUGGCGAGCGGGUGAGUAACCCGUGAGUCACCUUGCCUUGACUGUGUGAUAACUGCAGGCGACUGGGGCUAAUACCGGCUAGGAGCUCCUGCUGCAUGGUGGGGGUUGGAAAGUUUCGGCGGUUGGGGAUGGAUUCCCGGCUUAUCAGCUUGUUGGUGGGGUAGUGGCUUACCAGGGCAUUGGCGGGUAGCCGGCCUUGGAGGGGAAACGGCGACCUGGGGACUGAGAGACGGAGCAGACUCCUACGGGAGGCAGCAGUGGGGAAUAUUGCACAAUGGGCGGAAGCGUGAUGCAGAAAUGCCCGGAGUGUGAUGACGGCCUUGGUGUUGGAAACCGCAGUAGGCUGAGACGAAGCUUUAUUGACGGUAAUGGGUAAAGAAGCACCGGCUAACUACGUG